ACUGCAUAUUAUUAAAGCUUGGAGUUGAGGCAACUGGAUGGCCAAUGAAUUCACAAGUAUAAGGAGUGUGCUUUGUGAGAAGCAGGUCUUAGCGCUAACACCACAGGUCUCUGACCCAGUGAGUGGGUGGAGUUUGAUAGUAAUCUUGCUACAGAU